AUUGAACACUGGGGGCAUGCCUUACACAUGCAAGUCGAACGGCAGCACGGGAGCAAUCCUGGUGGCGAGUGGCGAACGGGUGAGUAGUACAUCGGAACGUGCCUAGUAGUGGGGGAUAGCCCGGCGAAAGCCGGAUUAAUACCGCAUACGACCUGAGGGUGAAAGCGGGGGAUCGCAAGACCUCGCGCUAUCAGAGCGGCCGAUGCCAGAUUAGGUAGUUGGUGGGGUAAAAGCCUACCAAGCCGACGAUCUGUAGCUGGUCUGAGAGGACGACCAGCCACACUGGGGCCGAGACACGGCCCAGACUCCUACGGGAGGCAGCAGUGGGGAAUUUUGGACAAUGGGCGCAAGCCUGAUCCAGCCAUGCCGCGUGCAGGAAGAAGGCCUUCGGGUUGUAAACUGCUUUUGUCAGGGAAGAAAAGUUCUGGGCUAAUACCCCGGAGCGAUGACGGUACCUGAAGAAUAAGCACCGGCUAACUACGUGCCAGCCGCCGCAGUAA
rnacentral:rRNA from 1 species